CAAAAAGCUGCAAGAUGGCCGCUGCGCAUGCAUGGUCCAGUAAACAACAGCUAAAACAUCUCCGAACUGUGGUGCCGAGACGAGCCCAACACCCACCGUGGACCACCCAUGGGGCGACACACCUCAAAGAACCAUCGUUACUGCACAAGAAAUUGAAAUGCCGAAAAAAAGACUUCCACUUUAAUCUGUUCUAAACGAGCUGGACUUUCUUUAGUGAUCCAUGAGGUGAAGCCAUUAACUGAACGUGGCAGCAGGGAAAAGAGGAUGGGUCAAAGACUAUUUUACAAGGCGCAUUUUUCGUGUCAUGAGCUGCACCGUGGUGCUGUGCUUCAGUCUUG